UAUACUCAUUAAAUUUUCAGAGAAGAAAUGGUUUCCAAAAGAAAUGUAUCCAUAGCUUUUAUGUUAGUUAUAGUGCUUCUCAUUUCAUCGGAAGUUGCAGAUGCUAGAGAACUAGCUGAGACAUCGCCACCUGAAGAAGGUGAUGAUAUGAUCGGAAGAGGUGUACGUUUAGACUAUGAGUGCCCCAGUGGAUGCUGUGGUGUAGGUAGAAAACCAUCCGGACAAUAUUGCCGUUGUUGCUCUUAUUAAUCCACACACUUGAUGUUUUUAUUUAUGUUCAAAAAAGAAACAAAAAUAAAGUUCAUUAAAGAUAA